rnacentral:tRNA from 2 species
GGUGAGAUGGCCGAGAGGCUGAAGGCACUCCCCUGCUAAGGGAGUAUGUAAAAUAAAUUGCAUCGAGGGUUCGAAUCCCUCUCUCACCA